rnacentral:rRNA from 1 species
GACUACUGGGGUAUCUAAUCCUGUUUGAUACCCACGCCUUCGUGCCUGAGCGUCAGUUGUAUUUUAGUAAGCUGCCUUCGCAAUCGGAGUUCCUUGUAAUAUCUAUGCAUUUCACCGCUACACUACAAAUUCCGCCUACUUCAUAUACACUCAAGAAAACCAGUUUCAACGGCAAUUUUACAGUUAAGCUGCAAACUUUCACCGCUGACUUAAUCCUCCGCCUGCGCACCCUUUAAACCCAAUAAAUCCGGAUAACGCUCGGAUCCUCCGUAUUACCGCGGCUGCUGGCACGGAGUUAGCCGAUCCUUAUUCGUAAGGUACUUGCAAAAAGCCACACGUGGCUCACUUUAUUCCCUUAUAAAAGAAGUUUACAACCCGUAGGGCUGUCAUCCUUCACGCGACUUGGCUGGUUCAGAGUUGCCCCCAUUGACCAAUAUUCCUCACUGCAGCCGCCCGUAGG